GAGAGUUCAGAAGCAUACUUUCUCACGAUUAGAAAUGGAAAAUCCGUUUUUAUUUAGGGCUGCCUUCCUGAAAACUUGAAUCACCUUUGUGAAAAGGUCCUUGGAAAGAAGUGACAUGAUCAGAAGAUGUAGAAUCUUUGUGGCUGUAGUUAAGAAACUGCAAGGGUAAACAACCCUGAUGGGAGUUAUGUACAGGCCUUUGAACAGUAGCCAGAAUGUGGGCAUAAAUCACAAUGGGAGAUAAAAAAGGCAGUAUGACCAAGUUAUGACAGGAAAACUGGAAGCAACACAGCAGAAUUUUGAAACCUGAUGUGCCGAGGGUACACAGUGGGUCACCUUUACUCUUACACCAGCAGGGAUGGGUGAACCAAUGAUUGGCCAAACAGAAUUGCUUGCCUAAAGGAAGUCAUCCAUCGACAGGAGCACCUGAUCCUAAAAGCAGCAAGAAACUGUUGACCAUCUGCUCACCACUCUCAAUCAACUCUCUGGCUAAAUACAGCAACACCAGUCAACCUCUUCCCUCAAAGCCCUGGGUUCCGGUGCUCGAACACUUCGACGAACCCCAACCCGAUGCCACAACUUCCUAUCACAGUGUGUCUUACACUUUGAGCUCCAGCCUUCUUGAUAUUCUAUGGACCAAGCCAAGAUUGCUUUCAUCAUCUCUCUCCUGGCCCACCGUUAACUGGGACUCCAAUGGGCGCACUCCUCACCCCUUUCCAGCCAUCCAAGCACACAAUGGAUUCUGGAUUUUCUGCUACACCGGUUCUGGUAAUUCACCAUGAUCAGAGAUGUAUGUUAGUUUAUCUUUGCCUGCCCUCAAUGUGCCCCUAGCAGUCCCCCAAUGCCCGUGGUCCCACAUCGCUAUGGAUUUCAUCACAGGUUUGCCAUCUUCCGAUGGGGCCACGGUGAUCAUGACAGUGGCGGACCAAUUUUCCAAAGCAGCCCAAACUUUCAUCAGCUGCUGAAAUACUGGACUUGAUUCUCCAACUUGUAGUUUGCUUCCACUGUUUCCCUGAGGACAUUGUGUCAGACUGAACCCAUAAUUUGUCUCCUACUUCUGGCAAGCCUUCUGCUCCCUCCUCCACAUCACAGUAAGUUUGUCUUCUGGCUGUCAUCCCCAGAUCAAAGGUCAAUCAGAAAGAGCCAAUCAACAAGUAGAGAAGUUUCUGUGAAGUUACUGCCUCUAACCCUUUCACAUGGAAGAAAUAUCAGCUCUAGACUGAACUGUCCUACAAUCUACCCACGUCCUCUGCCACAGGUAUGUCACCCUUUGAAGUGAUUCAUGAAGUGUUUUUGUUGUUCCCUGCAAGGGAUACAAUGUUGGUGGUCCUGUCCACCAGAGCCCUGGUUUGCCAUUGCCAGAAUACUUAGAAGAGGGCACAGAGCACCAUCCUUAUUGCUAAUUGUGCCUAGUGCUGCUAGGAUAAAUGCUGUCAGUGCCCACCCAGACUAAUCCAGCCUGAGGACCGUGCCUGGUUGUGCACCAACUCCCGCAAGCUCUCCUCUGGUUCACUGGUCCCUUUACGAUUACCCAUCUCAUCAACCCAGUCAUUUACUGUCUCCAGCUGCCACUGUCUCUCGGGAUCACACCUAUCUUCCACAUAUCCUGCCUCAAGCCCACUGUCAUGGUCCACUUAACCCACCUGAGCCUGCAUCUCAGGAACCAAGGAUGGUGGAAGGACCCCAGUGAAUAUGGUUCUCCAGUUGAUUAAUUCAUGUUAUUGUGGAUGGGAUGUGCAAUGCCUGGUAAACUAGGAUGAGUACAGCCCAGAGGAAAGGUCAUGGGUGCAGUCCAGUUUCAUUUCAGAGGAAUUUCAUCAGGCCACAUCUGUACCAUCAGAUGCCAGCUGCAGGAGGGUGUCCUAUCCACCUGGUUAAGAGGAGUCAUCUGCUAGUUGUUUCCAACUCAUUAUCUGCAGACUAUUUAAACCCAACUCUCAGCUACAGUCUUUGUCCACCCAUCGAACCAGACAGCCUCAACAAAUUGCUCUUAACCUUCAGUUACCUUGUUGCGUUAUGUAUCUAUUCUCUCUUGUUCAGUGUCCCCUUGUGGCUU